UACAGAGGUCUCAAGCGUUGUUCGGAUUCAUUGGGCGUAAAGGGUGCGUAGGCGGCGCGGUAAGUCGGGUGUGAAAUCUCGGAGCUUAACUCCGAAACUGCAUUCGAUACUGCCGUGCUUGAGGACUGGAGAGGAGACUGGAAUUUACGGUGUAGCGGUGAAAUGCGUAGAUAUCGUGAAGGAAGACCAGUGGCGAAGGCGGGUCUCUGGACAGUUCCUGACGCUGAGGCACGAAGGUCAGGGAGGCAAACGGGAUUAGAAC
rnacentral:rRNA from 1 species